UAGGGUCUUAAAAUUUGAAGGUAUUUGGGGACAAUUCGCUGCGAUUCAUAUAUAACUAGGGGAGGAUUAUUUUUGUGACAGCAAUGAGGCACAAUGUCGAGUAAGUUUAGGUCCCUAAUCGUAUCAUUCAAUCAAUACGUUUUGUUUAUUGUUUCUAUUCUUGCAUAUGCAAACACAAAUAAUGUAACUCGUACAUUUUUGCUAAUACAAUAAUAAUUAAUCACAGGAGAAUUUAUGGAAAGGUUUAAAAAAAAGUGAAGACCUCGGCAUAAGAUGAUAUAACUAGCCCAUCACAUUCAGAAUAUAUUGACAUAUGUCGUCAUCUGAUCAUAUUUGUUUUCAUUGUUUGGAGUUCUUAUGCUUAAUUGUUCAAAUUUACAUAAUCAAUUAGUAUUUCAAGUGGAAGUGAACAAUUUAUUUUGGUAAGAAAUCUUGUUGCCAUAUAAUUUGUGUUGUUGG
rnacentral:lncRNA from 1 species